CUAUUAGGUAUUUGUAAGUAAUGCACACGUUUUUUUUUUUAAUCGUAUUCAGUAGUGGUGCAAAUAUUCAGAUGCUUUCCAGAAAAAAGGUAUAUGAAUGAAAUGUAUUUUCUAUAAUUUUAAAUCAGUUGGAUAAUUCGGAUUUCAUAUUUUAAAGUAAAGCUAAUUAGCCUUCAAAUGUAUAUGAAAGGCAAAGUAACUAUUUAAUCAAAGAAAGGCAAAGUAAACAUUUAUAUUCUGACAAUUUCAGGCCGGGCCGAACGUAUAUUUGCCAAUUGUGUAAAGCUAACCUGUUUCCGGGCGCUCUAAUGGCAGCUAAUGUUUCCAAUUAGUGGGUGAACUAUUAAAAAAAAAAGAAAAAAAAACAGGGCCAUACAGUGACUGGCAGGCAAAAAAAGAAUAAGUUACAUCGAUCUGCGUUUCUUUGAAUCGUGAAAUUAAAGAUUGACGUCCCUUCUCCGCUCCACUAGAUGGCAGUAACGUCAUAAAGGCGACCAAAGCAAGGCAUUAUGGGUAAGCGUUUUAAUAAAAAGAGCGACGUUCGCGUUACGUACAAUACGUCGUGUUAGUCAACCCGGAUAAAACCUCGAUUUUUUUUCGGAGAAGCUUAGUUAAGAAUUUUUUUUUUUUUUUAGGUUCACAAACUAUUGAAAUGUAUAUUAAAACAAUGGAUAUGGCUACUUCCAAACACAUGGACGCUGUCCGGUUAAACUUGAAGCCUGCAAACAAGCUACGUUGGACGCAACUCCGCGUGGCCGCCGAGGAGGACGAGGCCUUCGGGCAAUGUCGGCGCACCGUCGCCGCUGUCAAGUCUACGAGAACCAGGAAGGUCCACGGACGGGACCGUCGACCGUCAGCCAAGUUGACCAACGCGGAGCCGAGAGAGGAGCGACGAGCGGCGGCCUGUGCGAGGCGACUUCACCCCGGGGCAAUGGCGCCGGAGAACACGACGCAAUACCUGAUUCGCGAAUAUGAAGACAACAUGGCGUCGAGUCUCAAUAACCGAGAGAACGAAGCACCGGCCUCGCUCGAGGGACUUUGAGGAAAUGUUUGGCCUGUGUUGGUAACACCGAGGACGCAAUGACGAAGCAGCAACUUUUCCCCCCUUCGAAUUGGAAAAGUGGCGCCCAGUAGGGAGUGCUCUUCGCCCCCUCGACGAGCGAGCGAGCGGAGCAAAACGCACCUGAGCUGGCAGUGCGGCCACUGCCUUAAAAGUCAGGUAACAAGCAAACCCGGCCAGGUAUUGUUGCACUGCUCUGUCCUUCAAAUGGUGCCAUGCAACCUCUGUCACUGUGUGAGCGUUUUGCAGGUCAGCCCCUGCUUGCUCGCCUGCCUGCCCACCGGGGGGACCACAGGCUCUGCUGCGGGGAGACCCAGGACCACCUGAAAGGUGACUUUAUUGCAUGCGAAGACAUUUUUAUUUUGAGCCGUGGAUCACUGUCGGAGCGUGUGUAUACUAUAAAUAUCGUGGAUCAAAGUUCUAAUUGGAAUUAGGCGUGGAUCAAUGUUAUAAUUGAAAUAUCAUCUGUGCAAUCUGUACAAAUAAAAGUUUCAUGUCAACUGAUCUUUUGUUUUUUUUGUCAAAGUGCUGUAAAUGUUUAAUGUUCAACAGGCAGCAGGCCGGUGUUGAGGUAAGGAACGACAAUCUAUGGAUAGGUUUUAAAUGACAUCACAAUCCUUAGAGCAAUCUGAUAAAUUAGCGAUGGGUUCUAUCACUUAUGUUCUCUGACCUUUGACACAAGAUGGCGUAAUUAGAAACUUAUUCGUUGGAAGUAUCAAAACAUUAGAGAAGAAACAAUUGAAUGGGAUCUGUGCAUAAUAAAUGACAAUUAAAUGCCUAGCGAUCAAAAUUUGGAAAAAUUCCAAAUUUGUCCGGCUAAGGCAAUAGAUUGUCAUUGCUGGAGCUACUCCAGACAACUGUGAACAAAUACACUGGAAAGUGCAGUUAUAAACCAAAGUCAAGGCCAUAAAAUAGAAUUCCCCAAAUUGGCAAGACAUUUUGGAUUCAAACCCUCAAAAGAGAAAUGUCAUAAUUCAAAGAAAGUAACUUUUCAUCCAUUGCCUGACCAAUGACUGCCGGAGACAAAUUGUUACUAGAGGGUUUAUUUACUGUUAUGUCAACUAGUUAAUAGCAACCUGUUCAUACACUUUGAUAGCGGACAGGAAAUCCUCCCUCCAAGGGCUGAAGUUGGGAAAACAAAAAAUAUUGAAAAUCUAUUUUUUUGCUUGGUGGUCACAGUUUUUAAUCCUCCAAGGAAAAUAACUAUAUAGGGUUAAUAAAGUCUGACAGCACUAUAAAAUACUUAACGUUACAAACUCUUGUCGGAAUCAACUUUUUGAGAGUAUAGUGUUCAUAUGUCCCCCCCCCCCCCACUUUUUUUUUUGCUUACUCUUGCUAUGUAUUUAUGAAUUAUGUCUGCAGUACUAUAAACUGCCACACGGUGGCACUAGCUUCACGCAAAAGCACAGCCUCGCACGUCGCUCAAAAAAAUUAUUCCAGGGGUUUAGUGAACCAGUAUUUCAUAUAAUUGCGAUGUGGAUGAUUUGUGGACCUUCUGACGACUUUUUAGAUGCUCCGUGUAAUUGUCAAUCUGGCGGCCUGUAAUUACAGUGACGUCACUGCUGGUUGCUGGCCUCGAAUUGUGCGGCGCAGCAGUCAAGAGUGACGGCCAGCAAUUACACCUGAAGCCUCGUGCGCAUAUAAUGUGUGUGUGUGUGUGUGUGUUUAGUUAGACACUUGGACAGGACCACCGGCGGAGAAUUAAUGAGCACUGCCGCAUCAUCCAUCAAUUUUGGAUUGGUCCAGGCCCGUGUGUCAUGGUUGCUGUGUUUCUAUCGAUAGUUUACUCUCUCGCCACGCAGUGUACAUCAAUUAGUGGCAUCGUUACCAUGGCAGCCGUCUCUCUUCUAAUUUCAGCUUCCGGAACUGCACUGCAACUCUCGUGUCCUUGACACAGUUAAAGAAAGUCCAGAACGGGGACGGAAAUAGACGCGGCGCAAACGUCCCUGGGACCCUUCUUGACUAAUGAGCCGAUGUGACAGGAGGGGUCAAAUACCGAAAGUGGCGCAGACGGCUGUGUCAUUGUCAGACGUCGUCGAGGGCGGCGGUGGCGGCGAGUAAACAGCAGAUGGCCACUACCUGAACGCCUCGCCAACAUCGCUCAGGCCGAGCCAGAAAAAGUCAGCCGCCAUCUUGAGUGCUCCUCCCCUCUGUGGCUCAGGAAGGCGACAGCGAGCCGACUGAGAACAUCACAGCGAGGCAGCCAGAGGUUGACCUCAAUCGUUGUGGACGGCCGCAGUAUGUCCCCGGCUGACCCAGUUGAGCAGCUGUGUCGUUUCCCUUCUCGUGCUGCUGUUGCCUGUUGACUCAGGACACCAUGGAGAGGAAGACGAGGAGGUGGCGUCGGAGCUUCAUUUCCGCCUGAGACCUUAACAUAGUCGGCGUCAUGUUCUGCGAGAAAGGCUUGACAUCAGGAGGAGGAGGAGGAGGAGGAAAAGGACCCGUGUUGCACCGCAUCCUCAGGUUACUCACUGGUCUCAUCCAUUAUUGCUGGAACUUCAUCCAUAAUGGAUCUUGCCGGGACAAUGCCACCGAACCACGAUUCUGCUGGAUUCUGGCUCCAGCACCCUGGAGCGUCGCAAGGUUGUGACCUCCAUACGCAAGGAAAAUUGUGGAUGACUCAACAGGAGGGUGGAAAUAAAUGAUCCCAUGUGCUAGUCUAACUUUGUGAUCUUAGAGUAAUUUAUGACCUUAGAAAACAAGGCCUUGAACUGGCUGUUUGGCUUCUUGCAGCUCAUCCAACAUGAAAAUCCAGAUAACAGCCUUCAUGACGACUUGCAGACUUAUGUGCUGUACUCCCCUCUUUUCUUUUUCCCUUUUUUAGCAAGAUGCUCCCGCUCUUGGGAGUAGGUUCAUCCGCUUGCGCCCUCCCUUUUGUGUUUGACACUCAACUGUUUGACACUGGGAAGUAAACCCAAAGAUUCGGCCUGGAGAACAUUGCCAAUCUUGGCUAACCAGACAUUGAAGCGCGGGACCCCCGCCGUUUUUAUCUCGCCGUCCAAGUGAGACACGUGUCAACGAGGAUAAACUUGCCAGAUUGAUGGAUUGUAAAUUCCCUGCUCCAGUUCUGGUGCUGCCACAGCUGAGUUUUAGGGUGAGGUGUCUUUUGUGAGCUCACACUUGCCAUGACUUAUUUGGACUUCGCUGGGUGCUCGUGGAACUGGCCAUGCCUAAAGUAGGGUAGCCGUUAAAUGGCCUACAGACGAGAAUCACACGGUCUGCCCUCUGUGGACUUGGGCCGAUGUGUCACGUGACAUACGAACCUCGGAAAACUCCUUCAGUGCACAUCAUGUGACACACUCAAAGGACGGAAAUUUUCCAUAAACCAUCUCAGGAGAAAAUAGAUGACGGUGGAGGAAAAGUCCCCGUUUUUUGUUUUUGCGUGUUCAAAGUCCAGAAGGCUUCAUGUGUUGAUCAGCACGUUAUAAGGACCUUCCUACUAUCAUUUUUACACUUUAUGGACAAAAGUAUUGGAACCCUUGGCCGUGUCCAGUUUUUGCUGCAGCUCAGUGAGUUUCUACCCCUGACAGACGAAGUGGGUAAUUCAAACACACACACACACACACACACACACACACACACACAGAGGUCAUUACAUUACCGCUAAGCGUCUCCAUAAGCAUCUCCAUAAACCCAUGCGGGCAUAUCUGACAUAUCCAUCUGCUACGCUAGGAUCAUGAUGAAUUCCCCCUCUCCCCUCCCCGCCUCUGCUGUCUAAAUCAGGUUUAGGGGUGUGUCGGUGGUACUGGUGACGGACGGAACAUUGUAUAAUGACGGGGUUGUUCUUGAUGUUUUUAGCCCACACGUACAUGUUUUAAUGGACUUUAAGUCCGUGAAAGGGAAAAAUAUAUUUUCUUUGAAACUUGACAUAGGACAAGAGUGUUGUUAACAACCCAGCUGAAUGUGAAUGAUUUAAAAUAUGGCAUAGUAUGUGAAAUCCAGCCGUUUUCACGUGCUAAGGGCCCGUUAGCUAAAAGUGCUAAUAUCCUCUCCAACUCAACUGCCAACUGUCAAUCAGAUACAAGUGCCACUGCUAUGACCUAGAAAAUGGAUGCAUCGUUCUUAUGACAACCCAUAAACUACAUUUUAGCCAUGUAAAUAUACCCACUUCAUGUCUUCUGUGGCCGGAAUAUAUCCCACUUAUCCAUGGCGCGACAACGAGGCGCUCUAAAGUAGCCACGCCUGCGAGUAGCACUUGAAUGAAUGAAUGAAUGAACAUUUUUAGCAUUGCAUUUAGAAAUGAAUCUUAAAUGCUUCUUGAUGGACCGCAUCUGCUCAUCUUCACUUAUUCCUAACCUCAGUCGUCAGCGUUAUGUUAUCACAAUUAUUAUUAAUACUCAUUUUCCUGGAAUGUACGUUUCCCAAUCCACUCUUCUGUUAACUUUUCCGUCGACUAAGUGACCAAAUUUAAUUUCAUUUUGUGAGUCCACUUUUAAGGCUAUUACCGCAAAGUAGAGAGUGCUCCCUCUUCUACCCCCCCCCCCCUCCUUACCCUUACCCCCACUUCCACACAAGUAACGUAUGCCCUGCCUCAGUCUUCCUUUCAGUGCCCUCCUCGGCUCCCAGGGGGACAGCCCCCCUCCCCCAGGGGAAAGGGAAGAAAUGGGGUGUAAAGGGCACCGAGUUCCCAUUGGAUCUGCCCCCCCCCCCCCCCCCCCUUGCCAUCUGUGUGCAAUCCAGGCCAGGCCAGACAACACGGAGGGGGAAAAACUCAAUUCUCUCUUUUGUUGACAUUAAUUGAUCCUCAGCCUGUACCAGCAAACACAUGCUUCUGAAUUGUCUCCAAUUUCGCCAAAGUCCCAUGAGCCAGAGGCAAGUGUUCCUUUCCGGUCUCAUUUGUCGGCGCGCCAAACACCUUCUUGACUGUCCUUAUACGACAGUUGAUAUUUUGGUCUAUGUGGUUUUUUUUUCUUCUCCACUUUCAUUUUUCCUCGAGUAUAAAUGCAAAAUCGAAGGUGGUUUCACAGCCGUGUUUUGCGCCAUCAAGUCUACUUACGUGCCCCCGUAUUCCUGCCGCCCUGUCGAACGCACACUGCGGCCCGCCGCGCUGUAAACGUGGCAGGCUAUUGACGGAAAACAGAAGGUGGAAAACAUGUCCGCAACCAAACCGAGCCAACACCCUUCUAUGGUACUUCUGUGCCGCCCAAACGCAGACAUUUAUACACCGUACAUAGUCGCUCACUCACACAUGCACUUAUUAGGCUGGGUGGGUCGCUUUUCGCCCGACAGUUUGCACUUGUGGUGACUUAUUGUCUGCGAGUGGAAACUUGGCCAGAGUGUUUCCCUGGCUGCUGUUAGGCUGCAUGGCGCUGGACAAAAUCGAAUUAGUGGGUUAGAAAAAAAAAACAACUGCAACUAAAUUAUACCAAAUUGGAUUUCACGUCUUCAGGCGAACACAUCUGCACAAAGGAGGGGUUGAGAUAUUGCGUAACAGAUACACUAACAGUCGAAUAUUAUCUUUGUCAAAUAACUGUUCAAAUUGGGAUGUAUUGCUUUCCCAACUCAAAUGGAUCAAAAUGCCAUAAAUCCGUUCCAGCACCCCCCCUCCCCCAAAAAAAAACAAGAAAGGUAGCACGCUAAAAUAUUGCAUUUUAGGAAAUCAUACAGCAAUUAUAAUCAAAUAGAAUACAAAGAAUAAAAAUGGCAAGGUAAUACAGAAACAGAUAUAUAAGGUGUACAAAAAAUGUACACACAGUUUAAAUAAUUUUAAACUUGAUGUUGAUUUAUAAUUUGAAUAUUUUUGAAGAAAUAUUAUUUAAAAUGAGAAUACAUUUUUUAGGACGCCCUGUACAUGGAGACAGUCACUCUUCAGUAAGCUGCAGUAAUAUCUUUCUUCAGAGGACAAAGAAUAUAUGCCUGUGAGUAUUGUUAUGUUAUCUCUAUGUGUGUUAAUCCCCCAUUUGUGUUCAAAUGUCCAUCACUUAACGGGUUACAACAACGCAACACGAUAUGCAUUGUUUUUUAGCUUUAAGACAAAAUGACUUUUUGCUUUGUGGUUGUUUUGAAUAAAUGUAUAUUUUGUCAUUGUUUUCUGUUUAGUUGGGCAGUAAACUUGAACUGAGUGGGAAUAAACAGCUGGUGUAUGACAAUCCCUAU